rnacentral:rRNA from 1 species
CCUACGGGAGGUAGCAGUGAGGAAUAUUGGUCAAUGUGCGCGAGCCUGAACCAGCCACGUAGCGUGAAGGCUGACUGCCCUACGGGUUGUAAACUUCUUUUAUAAAGGAAUAAAGUGAGGCACGUGUGCCUUUUUGUAUGUACUUUAUGACUAAGUAUCGGCUAACUCCGUGCCAGCAGCCGCGUUACUACGUAGGAUCCGAGCGUUAUCCGGAUUUAUUGGGUUUAAAGGGAGCGUAGAUGGGUUUUGAAGUCAGUUGUGAAAGUUUGCGGCUCAACCGUAAAAUUGCAAUUGAUACUGGCAGCCUUGAGUACAGUUGAGGUAGGCGGAAUUCGUGGUGUAGCGGUGAAAUGCUUAGAUAUCACGAAGAACUCCGAUUGCGAAGGCAGCCUACUAAACUGCCACUGACAUUGAUGCUCGAAAGUGUGGGUAUCAAACAGGAUUAGAUACCCCAGUAGUC